GAUGAACGCUAGCGGCAGGCUUAACACAUGCAAGUCGAGGGGUAUAGGUUUUCGGACCUAGAGACCGGCGCACGGGUGCGUAACGCGUAUGUAAUCUACCUUUUACAGAGGGAUAGCCCAGAGAAAUUUGGAUUAAUACCUCAUAGUAUUAUUGAAUGGCAUCAUUUAAUAAUUAAAGUCACAACGGUAAAAGAUGAGCAUGCGUCCCAUUAGCUAGUUGGUAAGGUAACGGCUUACCAAGGCAACGAUGGGUAGGGGUCCUGAGAGGGAGAUCCCCCACACUGGUACUGAGACACGGACCAGACUCCUACGGGUGGCUG
rnacentral:rRNA from 1 species